AGUGUUGUUCCUUGAUUACUUUUCUUCUAAGGACUCCGGAUAGAGCAGGAUAGCUAUUAAAGUACAGAGAAGUAGAAAGAGUUUCAUGGAGCAAAAAUGGAACUGUUUUUAGAUGACUGUAGCUGAUUGAAUUUGUAAUGGUAUUAAAAUAAAUAUUUAAAUUGUUCUUACAUAAAUCGCCAUUGGAAGACCAAAUUGCCAUCUGCCUGAGAUUAUAAAAGCAGAUAAUUAAAUAAAAGCAUUUAUUUCUAUUCAUUAUAUAACCAUUUCGAAUGCAGUCAGACACACUCAAGAAUAUCGCUAUAUAAGCUCAACCUAAUUUGAUAUUCUACAUAGUUGAAGAAGACUAAAUCUCAAACAUGAAGCUCGCACUGAUUCUUGUGGCCGCUUUAGCAGUCGCUUCACGACCACCUCAUCCGUGGCAAGUCCCUGGCAGCGGUUAGGUCAGCACGGACUCAUUCCCAAAAGUUUUCCGAUAAUAAAAGGGUCAAGUACAGAGAUGUCAUUGGUCGAACACACCUUCUAUAUUAGCUACAUCAGUUAGGAUGAAUUGAUGUGUAUCUCAAAAU